rnacentral:rRNA from 1 species
CCUACGGGAGGCUGCAGUAGGGAAUCUUCCGCAAUGGGCGAAAGCCUGACGGAGCAACGCCGCGUGAGUGAUGAAGGUCUUCGGAUCGUAAAACUCUGUUAUUAGGGAAGAACAAAUGUGUAAGUAACUAUGCACGUCUUGACGGUACCUAAUCAGAAAGCCACGGCUAACUACGUGCCAGCAGCCGCGGUAAUACGUAGGUGGCAAGCGUUAUCCGGAAUUAUUGGGCGUAAAGCGCGGGUAGGCGGUUUUUUAAGUCUGAUGUGAAAGCCCACGGCUCAACCGUGGAGGGUCAUUGGAAACUGGAAAACUUGAGUGCAGAAGAGGAAAGUGGAAUUCCAUGUGUAGCGGUGAAAUGCGCAGAGAUAUGGAGGAACACCAGUGGCGAAGGCGACUUUCUGGUCUGUAACUGACGCUGAGGUGCGAAAGCGUGGGGAUCAAACAGGAUUAGAUACCCUAGUAGUC